CCCGAGACAGGAUAUGCAAAAAGAUUGUUCUAUUAUUUCACCGCAAGUGAAAUUGAGAAAAUCUGUCCAACGGUUACCAAGCUGACAUGGCGAUUUGGAAAUGAGGUAUUCUAUAAUCUGCUGUGUGUGCUUCUUACCCUGCUGUUGGGCUAUGCGCCGUCGGUCGGAAAAAUCGUCAAAGAAAAAAUGUCAGCCGCCGUGUCAAUGUUCCAAGAAUGGAGAGCUCGUCCUUCCCUCUGCCGUCACUGCGGUACUGCCCCGUGUCAGGUUAAAAGGAGAUCCUUGUUGAAGCCCUCCGUUACUCGUAAGAAAGACAAGGCGAACUUCGCAAAAAGGUCAAACGUCAUGAUGUUGUUUUACUAUGGACUAGAGUUGUCCGUGGUACUGACCAAAGAGAUGCCCUGGAAUGACCUGUACUUGGAGAGGAAGUUCGUCCAGCAUUUUGAGGAGGAGCAUAUGGUGUUGUUCCCACUGUGCAUCCAGCGUCAAAUCAACUACUGGUACCCUGUCCCUCGCUAGAUUCGUUGCGCCGUUCAAAGAGAAGAACGUGGAUUGCAGUCGGUGACGGAAUAGAAGUUUGAGAUUGACGUCAAAAGAUCGAUUUA